UACGGAGGGUGCAAGCGUUAUCCGGAUUUACUGGGUUUAAAGGGUGCGUAGGUGGGUCUGUAAGUCAGUGGUGAAAUCUUCAAGCUUAACUUGGAAACUGCCAUUGAUACUAUAGGUCUUGAAUUAUCUGGAGGUAAGCGGAAUAUGUCAUGUAGCGGUGAAAUGCUUAGAUAUGACACAGAACACCGAUUGCGAAGGCAGCUAGCUAGACCGACAUUGACGCUGAGGCACGAAAGCGUGGGGAUCAAACAGG
rnacentral:rRNA from 1 species